GAAUGCAACGCUGAGUGGAGCGUGGACCCCACGCUCAUUCACAGUGUGGAACUGAGCCCGGAGCGGAGAGCACUGUGCUGUGGGACGUCAGGGAGACCAACAGACAGAGUGAGGAAGUCUGCGGCUGCUCCGUCCGUGUUCCAGAUUGAUCCCAGAGCCCCCUGGGUGCCGAUUCUGUGGUGUUGGUCUCUCGAUGAUAAAAGACGUCUGAAUGCCCUGAGGAGCAGCAGCGUGCAAGGUCAAGACAGCGAAGACAGCGCUGCUCACAUUCCGCCCGUCCCAGUCACCCUGCACCACUUAUUCUCCAUGCUCAGUGCCAAGAAAUAAGACAUGCACCAUAUGCUCACCGCUCUCGGAGUCUGGGAUUCCACACACAUUGGCGGCGUUCGCACGCAGAGGGAGGUGUGAUCAUCACCGCCACCGGCCGCCUGUGUCUGUCCAUGGCCACCGCGGCCCUCCCCGGCCACAUCCAGCAGGCACAGAUGGUGUUGACGAUGUCAGAAUUCUAGACACAGAGCAUAUGUCCUCAAGCAGACAAGGUGCUAAAUUAAUUCUAAACACCCAUGGGGGCAGCAGAGGUGUGGACGAACCAACCAACCUGAUCCCAGGAUGGUGCCCAGGGAAAAGAGGUGGGCCCGGAGGAGCUCAGAUCCAGGGGAAAGCAUGGGCCUGGCCAGCAGCUUCAGGGAUUCCAGUGUUUCCCUCCCAGUGUCCAAAAGCCUGCAUCUAGCAGAGACUACAGGGAUGAUUGUUUUUCCCGUUUACCAGUCUGAGAAAGGACACACUUCAGCUUAGACAGCUACCACCGUCUGGGGUGAAUGGACAGAGGUACCUCUAGUGUAGAGAAGGCAUCUCACAAACUUGCAGGCCUAAAAGGUAGGUGGAGAAAUUCAUGACUGGUUGAAUUCCAAGAUUGUGGAUCCUGGAAAGAAGCUAUUCAUUCAAAAAUUAAGAGGAAUAUUUUUGACUCAAAUUUUUUUUUUGAGACAGGGUUUUACUGUACAGUAUAGGCUGACUUUGAACUCUUUUGUGUAGCCCAGGCUGGCCUUGAACUCAUGACAAUCCUCCUGCCUCAGCCUCCAAAUGCUAGAAUUAUAGGCGGGCACUACCACUCCCAGUUUGGACUCAACUGUCAAAAUUUUAAAAAAUUACAAAUUAUUAAUAUUUCUCACUUUCUUUCAUCAACUUGUUGAGAUCUAUGCUUUUCCUCCCUUUUUUCCUUUUCCUUCUUUUGUAUCUUUUUCCUCAUUUUAACUCUUUUUUUUCUUUAUCUUUCCUUUAUUUCUUGUAUUUUGCUCUCUUUGGGUUUUUUCCUUCUUGUCCUUGUGUGUCCUUUUUUGAAACUGUUUUCUAAUGCUAUUAAGUCCAUUUCACUCUUCAAUAGGCCAUCUCACUACUGACUCCCUCUUUUUGUCUUCCAUUGAUCAAUAUUUCAAAUUUUAAUUUUUUAUUUUUUUAGGGUAGGAUUUUUAAAAUUUUCACCUUAUAUAUUUAAACCAUUUAGAUUUAUCCAUAUAUUAUAUCUCAAAUCUUUCAUCUAAAAUAACUUUUGGGUAUUUUAUUUUUAAAAAGCAAACAAAAAAGGGUAGAAGUG